rnacentral:lncRNA from 1 species
CAGGGCUGCAAAUAAAUAUUUGACUUGACAGGACAUUUGUCCGAUCACUUUUAAUUUUGGUCGGACAUAACUUGAAUUUGGUCGGACUUUUACCAACACCACUAAAUUUGGUCGGACAUAUAUACGUCACAAGAUAUAUAUAAGUCACGAGACAAGUAUGUAUAGCCAUUCCGGCGCAAUGUUACUGUAAGUAAAAUGCUAGAAUACCUUGUAAAUUUUAUUGCAAAAUGC